GAUGAACGCUGGCGGCGUGCUUAACACAUGCAAGUCGAACGAAGCACUUUAUUUGAUUUCCUUCGGGACUGAUUAUUUUGUGACUGAGUGGCGGGCGGGUGAGUAACGCGUGGGUAACCUGCCUUGUACAGGGGGAUAACAGUUGGAAACGGCUGCUAAUACCGCAUAAGCGCACGGCAUCGCAUGAUGCAGUGUGAAAAACUCCGGUGGUAUAAGAUGGACCCGCGUUGGAUUAGCUAGUUGGUGAGGUAACGGCCCACCAAGGCGACGAUCCAUAGCCGACCGGGGCGGGGGACCGGCCGAAGGGGGACGGAGCCCCGGCCAAAACUCCGGCGGGAGGCAGCAGUGGGGAAUAUUGCAAAGGGGGCGAAAGCCUGAGGCCGCGACGCCGCGUGAGGGAAGAAGUUUUUCGUUAUGAAAAGCUCUAUCAGAAGGGAAGAUAAUGACGGUACCUAAAUAAGAAGCCCCGGCUAAUUACGUC
rnacentral:rRNA from 1 species